rnacentral:rRNA from 1 species
UACGGGGGGGGCAAGCGUUGUUCGGAAUUACUGGGCGUAAAGGGCUCGUAGGCGGCCAACUAAGUCGGACGUGAAAUCCCCAGGCUCAACCUGGGAACUGCGUCCGAUACUGGAUGGCUUGAAUCCGGGAGAGGGAUGCAGAAUUCCAGGUGUAGCGGUGAAAUGCGUAGAUAUCAGGAGGAACACCGGUGGCGAAAGCGCUCAUCUGGCCCAAUACUGACGCUGAGGCGCGAAAGCUAGGGGAGCAAACGGG